rnacentral:lncRNA from 10 species
ACUGCAACUUUUGCCUCCCAGGUUCAAGCGAUUCUUCUCCCUCAGCCUCCAGAGUAGCUGGGAUUAUAGGCAUACACCACCACACCCGGCUAAUUUUGUAUUUUUAGUAGAGAUGGGGGUUUCUCCAUGUUGGUCAGGCUGGUCGGGAACUCCCAACCUCAGGUGAUCCACCUGUCUUGGCUUCCCAAAGUGCUGGGAUUACAGGUGUAAGCCACUGCGCCUGGCCUGACAGCCCCUUUCUCACCGGAGCCAGGCGCUCUCUGCCCUGCUCUGCAGAAACCUCCCUGGCCUGGCCAGCAGCCUCAGAGGCCUCAGAAAAUGUCCUGGCUGCAGGUGAAAGAAGACGAGGGUGCAGCUUCCCCAGCGUGCUCUGAGCUCAACCCACCAGACACAACCCCCUCUCACGGUCACACGGGCCCCCGGGCUCCCCUGUGGGAAAGGCCAGUGGAAAUGGCAGCAUGGACGGAGGCAUCCAUGGCCCUGUGAUGCAUGGCUGUGUCAGUGGAUGAUCUGAGAAUUCACCCGGUCCCCAGCACCCCAUAUCCGCCACCCCAUCCUGCUGCUCUUCUCUUUCUCUCUCAUGACCUUCUGCCCCUCUGGGCUCCUCACUGAGGACCACCAGGACUGUCCCCGACACCGAUGCUAGCUGGGAUGUCCGGGCGUCCCUCCCACAAGGUCUGUGCCUGGAGAGGGAUGGGCACUGGUGUAAGGCCCACUAUGGGGGGAGACCAAGGGCGGGCAGCUCACCCAGGUGCUGAGGAAUCCAGGCAGAGCACAGUGUCCUUUGCUGCAGGGUCUGAGGGCUCUCUGCCCAUAGAGCUGCUGCGGCUACGCACUGUUACAUCUCCGGAAGAUGUGCCUUGUUAUGCUCUCAGUACUUAUAAAAAAGGAAUUCUCUGUCCACAAUUUAUUCCUGUGCUUUAAAAGUUUGAAUUCCAGUGGAAAAGCAGCAAGAAGACAUGAGCCUCAAGGAUGGUUCUGGAGAUGGGUCUGAUGAUUGUGCUUGGUCCACCAAAGCUUCCCACGAGAACAGCAUGUUUGUUUUUGCUGACACCCCCAGCCCCCAAGCUCAGUUCCUCUCUUGGGAGGCUGAGGGGUCACAGGGUCCUGAAGUGUCCCCGGGCUCACACCCAAAUGGAAGACCUGUUUUCCUCAGGAAGUAAUCCUCGCCAAGCAUGUCAGGUGUAGGAUACCAUAUGUCAGAAGUCACAACAGGAGGCCGGGCACGGUGGCUCACGCCUGUAAUCCCAGCACUUUGGGAGGUUGAGGUGGAUGGAUCACCUGAGGUCAGGAGUUCAAGACCAGCCUGGGAAACAUGAUGAAACCCUGUCUCUACUAAAAAUACAAAAAUUAGCCGGGCGCAGUGGCACAUGCCUGUAAAUCCCAGCUACUCAGGAGGCUGAGGCCGGAGAAUCGCUUGAGCCCGGGAGGUGGAGGUUGCAGUGAGCCAAGAUCAGGCCACUGUACUCCAGCCUGGGUGACAGAGUGAGACUCUGUCUAAAACAAACAAACAAACAAAAAAAGAAGUCACAACGGGUGAUGAAAAGCAAAACAAUUUCAUUUGCAUCUCUCCAGUUCUUAGCAGGCUUCCACUGGGCGCUGAGUUCCAGGUCUAUAUUUAUUCACCAUCCGUUAAGUCACUGAAUUUGAAUUACACACUUUUGAGGAUUCUGAAUGGGAAGAGGCACUCAUAAACUGCCUGCGUGUAUAAUCCUGAGCCUUGUUGCUGUGUCAGCCCCAUGAAAGCUUGUUUAUUGGUAAAUAUCAAAAUGCAACAUUUCCCUCAACUUACCUUUAAUCCUCUUUUUAUUACGUUUUCUAGACAGGAAUUUCUUCUUUCAAGGAAGGCUGUCAUAGAAAGACAUGUCACCUUGAGGCGUUCCUUACCAUUGUCAAUAGUGGAGGACACGUUGUCUCUCUUCUCUUCUGUUUCAGCCCCACUGUGGGUCCUGCGAGUCUGCACCUACUGUAGCUCCACCGUGCUGUUUGUGCUCUUCCACCUCAGCCUCCCUG